CCUUCGAUAGCUCAGCUGGUAGAGCGGAGGACUGUAGAUCAGACACUUAGGUCGCUGGUUCGAUUCCGGCUCGAAGGA